rnacentral:rRNA from 1 species
UACGUAGGGUGCGAGCGUUGUCCGGAAUUACUGGGCGUAAAGAGCUCGUAGGUGGUUUGUCGCGUUGUUCGUGAAAACUCACAACUCAAUUGUGGGCGUGCGGGCGAUACGGGCAGACUGGAGUACUGCAGGGGAGACUGGAAUUCCUGGUGUAGCGGUGGAAUGCGCAGAUAUCAGGAGGAACACCGGUGGCGAGGGCGGGUCUCUGGGCAGUAACUGACGCUGAGGAGCGAAAGCGUGGGGAGCGAACAGG